rnacentral:rRNA from 1 species
CGGAGGGUGCAAGCGUUAAUCGGAAUUACUGGGCGUAAAGCGCACGCAGGCGGUUUGUUAAGUCAGAUGUGAAAUCCCCGGGCUCAACCUGGGAACUGCAUUUGAAACUGGCAAGCUUGAGUCUUGUAGAGGGGGUAGAAUUCCAGGUGUAGCGGUGAAAUGCGUAGAGAUCUGGAGGAAUACCGGUGGCGAAGGCGGCCCCCUGGACAAAGACUGACGCUCAGGUGCGAAAGCGUGGGGAGCAAACAGGAUU